rnacentral:lncRNA from 1 species
CAAUGCUGACGCAAUUCGCACGCGACAUGCACAAUAUGUAAACAACCGAAGAACAGACCCAACGUUGUCCCAGACGGGACAUUUCCCAAGCACCGUGACUGCAAGGGAACGGGUUUUGGUCGACAACAUUCGGUUACAUUUGGCUAUUAUUAACAAAUUGUGCAUCACGUGGAAUGCAUCAGGAGAUGGAUAAUACAAGCAACAGAACCUACCGGCGCCGUAAUAAGUCAGUGACUUCUUUCAAACUGAGAUCCAUGGCGUAACCAUAGGAACAGUCUGAUGUUUAGACAAGGCUGACGUCAUCUGUGGGGAUGGAUUGACUCAGUGCAGAAUCACAGAAUAGUUCUUCAGGUGUAGAUGGAUCUGAGACAGUGUGGAGGUGAUCCCCAGAGGUGGAAUGGGCUUGGACCUCCCCCUGCCCAGGAGAGACAGACCGCCCCACAGGACUUGCGUUGACCUCAAACCUAGGCUGGGCCUGUGGAGAUCCACCACGGCCCCCUGGGGCUGCAGCUACCUCAUCUGUGGUGGUGGGGGCAGGACGACCUGUUACAAAAGCAGGGGGCCGUACACACUUCUAUCCAGGGGCUGCAGCUUGUGGGAGCAGUGAGGAGGGAAGGAGAGCAGCACGACGCCAUUGGCUUUGCAGUAGUCCAUGCCCUGGAGUGAGAGGUGAGAGGCUUGAUUAUCCAGAAGCAGCAGCUGUGGGGACACCCUGGUGUACUUCACAAAAUGUUGCAAGAAGGCCAGGAAGUCAUUCUCCAUCAUCCAACCAGAACCACUAGCAGUGCCCAUGCAACCUGUAGGCCCAUCACGUAGGAAGUGAUCAAGAUGUUGUUGGUCCGACCUGCUUCCUCCCUCUGUUGGCAAUGAUUUUGUCCGGCACUUGGACUGUUGUGGUGCUGGUCUCAUCCAUGUUCCACACAUCUUUGGCCUCAAAGUUGUGGCGGCCCAGAAUGUUAAUUCCAGUAAAAGCUUUAGCAUUUUCAAAUGUCUUCCUGAGAGCGCAGCCCUCUACCCUUUUUCAGAAUUCCCAUUCACUGGGGUUUCCAACAUUCCUCUGAGGAUGCUAAGAAUUUUGUUAAUUGUUUACUGUGUUUUAGUUCAGCCGUUGAUGAGUUUCCUCACAUGAUACAUUGAGUUUAAGAUUGAGACACAUCGCUGCACAUUGAGUAGAAGCAAUGUAUGAGAUCUGAUGAGUCCGUGGAAAAGAGCAGACCCUCUGAACUAUCCCUCUAAGAUCCAAGGACCGACUGAUGCUAAUACUGCUAAUAGUAUUACUGUUCAGUCAGUCUACAUCAUGGUUUCCACAAAACUCAACAGAACCGCAUGUUCUCUCUCCGUCUCACUCCUUCUCAACAUGAAAAUGGUCGAAGAGGAGCAAGGCAUGUUUGAUCCGUCUGCCUGUUUUUUUUCUGGCACAUCGUUGCCCCGGAAACGUACAUUUUUUGGACUCUUGUCAUUCUUUUUCUAUUUUCUCUGGCAAUGAACAGCUCUUUGUAGUGUCAUCAUGAACAGUUCAUUCCUACCCCCAGGAACAAAGGCUGCAUUAGACUACCUGUUAAGUUCACUUAGCCCUUUCACACUACCCAUUGGACUGUUGAGACUUAGAGAACGCUUCUGACAGCCGUCCUAUGCCUUGUUAAGUCAUUUAUUGAUCUGUAAUAUUUUGCAUAGCUUUAUUAGAGCUUUAUUCCCUGUGUCAUACUAUUUUCUGUUCCCCCUCACAGUGAGUUUUGGGGGGUUGGUGCACAGCACAUUUCAGUGGUGUGACAGCUGUCUUCCUGAGCUCUCAGAUGACUCUGGGCCUCAUGGCACUAGAAAGAUAUGUUUAUUUGCCACAGCAUCUACUACCUGAGCAUAAUAAUUUCCAGGCAUCUGCAGCUUGCCUUGAGGCUAAGCUGGGUUUUCAGUGUCAGUGUUGGUAGUGAUCAACCUGGGACAAGGUUCUGUUAACAAAGCCACUGCAGGACUAUUCUUGAACCUCGAAUUGUGGAAGGGUCUAUUUGUUUUAUUCCAGAGCAAAAUGUACUGUUCUUCGGCCCUCCCAGCCUCAUCUUGACUCUUUCAGUCAUCAUCAUCCGCUCCUGUUAUGGACGCAUGUAGUAGAAAGCACGCAGGGCUGCUGUGGUAAGCCAAGCUCUUAAAGGCCGUAUGCAGCCGUUUCUUUGCUAGGACUCUCUGGGAGUGGUCUGAGUGGGAGGGAUAUGUCAUCUCAAAACGAGCUGUUAUUGGCAGAGAAGUUUGGAACUCUCUUUGUAAGUGAGGGGAAUCGAUUAUCUGGCCUUGGUUACCCCGGUGUGAGGAGAUUGCACCAGGUUAAAAGUGAUUGCAUUCGUUUUGGAACCAGGCUGCCUCCCGGGCGUGAGACAGGUGCCCCAUUCUACGCCCACGGCGAAGUCGA